GUCAUAAAAGCCUAUAGGGUUUUGUAGUUUUAUAUUUAAUUAUAUAUUUAGCUGCUAGGGGACAAUACGCAGGAAACCAUGUUAAAUUUUAUAUUUAAAUAAAUGGGAUCCUCAGAGACCAAACGUUCGGAUAACUAUAUUAUGAAACUAACAUCGCAAUGGAUUACGGGUUUUGUAGACGGUGAAGGAUGUUUUCACGUUGGAUACUACAAAAGUGGCCAAAUUCAACCAGAAUUUACCGUAGUUCAACAUACUCGUAGUAUAAAAGUUUUGUAUGCUCUUAAAUCAUUUUUUGGUUGUGGUAGCGUACGUCAACAAAAACCAAACCUAUGGUAUUAUAGAGUACGUAGACGUUCAGAUCUACUAGAUACAAUUAUUCCUUUCUUUGAGAAAAAUGAAUUGAAAACUCAUAAGAAAGUAGAUUUUAUACGUUUUCGUUGGAUUACAAUUCAAUGUUCACGUAAUAAUCACUUGAAUGAUGAUGGUCUAAAGUGGAUUCUUCGUAUUCGUAAUCUAAUGAAUCCUACGCUCUAGAGAGCAUAGCGACCUAGAGGAGCCGUAAAUAAAUAUAGUUAUAAGAUAGAGUCCAUUAAUACUUGAAAAAUUAUUAAGAGCGAAAUUCCUUGUCUACUAAUUAUAGACCUGCAUGAAUGGAGUAACGACUGUCCCUCUGUCUCCAAUGUGGACUCAGUGAAAUUGAAUUCUCCGUGAAGAUGCGGAGUACCAACGGUUAGACGGUAAGACCCUAUGCACCUUUACUAUAAGCUUAUAUUGACGAAGAAGAUUUACUGUGUAGGAUAGGUGGGAGAUUAAUAUAUAGCUUCGGUUAUAUUUUAGUCAAUCUUGAAACACCACCCUUUACUUCUUUUGACUCUAACCCGUACAGGGGACAGUGUAUGCUGGGUAGUUUGACUGGGAUGGUCGCCUGCUAAAGAGUAACGGAGGCGCACAAAGGUAAACUCAAGCGGUUUAGAACUCCGCUGUAGAGCGUAAUAGUAUAAGUUUGCCUGACUGUGAGACUGACAGGUCGAACAGGCACGUAAGUGGGUUAUAGUGAUCCGGAGGCAUUCGCGUGGAAGAGCCUUCGCUUAACGGAUCAAAGGUACGCUAGGGAUAACAGGCUAAUGGUUCCCAAGAGCUCAUAUCGACGGGACCGUUUGGCACCUCGAUGUCGUCUCAUCGCAUCCUGGAGGUGAAGAAGCUUCCAAUGGUUCGGCUGUUCGCCGAUUAAAGCGAUACGUGAGAUGGGUUUAGAACGUCGUGAGACAGUUCGGUUCCUAUCUUCCGUUGGUGUUAAAAAUUGAGAGAGUGGACUCCUAGUACGAGAGGACCGGAGUCUAUCAACCUAUGGUCGACCAGUUGUUGUACCAACAGCACAGCUGGAUAGCUACGUUGAAUUAGAGAACUACUGAAAGCAUCUAAGUAGGAAGCUUUUCUCAAAACAAGUUUUUUAUAAGCUCGUAGAAGAUGACUACGUAGAUAGGCAAAAUGUGAAACCAGGGUAACCUGAAUAGCUCAUUUGUACUAAUUGCUUAUUACUCUUUAUA
rnacentral:rRNA from 1 species